UACAGAGGAUGCGAGCGUUAUCCGGAUUUAUUGGGUUUAAAGGGUGCGCAGGCGGCACGGCAAGCCGGCGGUCAAAUCGCGGGGCUCAACCCCGCCCAGCCGUCGGAACUGCCGGGCUAGAGUGGGCGAGAAGUGCGCGGAAUGCGUGGUGUAGCGGUGAAAUGCAUAGAUAUCACGCAGAACUCCGAUUGCGAAGGCAGCGCACCGGCGCCCUACUGACACUCAGGCACGAAAGCGUGGGUAUCGAACAGG
rnacentral:rRNA from 1 species